GUUUCCAAUGAUGAUAACCACAUUUUAUUUUAUUCUGGUACCUCUUAUAUCAUCGGGUCUUUGACCCGAAAUGUAUUAAACGGACUUCUGAUU
rnacentral:snoRNA from 1 species